AACCCUUAUUGCUUGUUUCUUUGUUUGAAGAUACAAGAUACAGUUGCCCAAUAUUUUGGCUUCCAUAGCUAGAGAAAGAACAAUAAGUGACUGAAAAAGAGGGAAGAUUGCUCGCUUGUUUGGUUGAAAAUACAUUGAUGAAGACCUUGUUGUCCAAUAUUUUGGCUACAAUACCUAGAGAAAGAGCCCCCAGUAUCUGAAGGGAUGGUGAGAGAUUGUUGGGUUCUUUGGUUGAAGAUAUAAUGAAUUUCCAGUUGCCAUUAAUAUGGCUUUCAUAGGUAGAGGAAGAACCCUUAAUAACUGAGAAAAAGCAAAGGUUGUUUGGUUGAAGAUACAAUUAUGAAGGCCUAGUUGUCCAAUAUUUUGGCUACAAUAGCAAUAAAAAAGCCAUCAGUGUGUGUGAAAGAGGGAAAUUGUUGGGUUUUGUGGUAAAAGAUACAAAGAUGAAGGCCCAGUUGCUCAAUGUUUUGACUACAGUCGCUACAGACAGACCAAUAACUUUAGGGAAGGGGAGAGAUUGUUGGGUUCUUUGGUUGGAGAUACAAUGAAGAUGGAGUUGCCCAAUAUUUUGGCUUCCAUAGCUAGAGAAAGAACCCUUAGUGACUGAAAAAGAGAGAAGAUUGUUGGGUUGUUUGGCAGAAUAUACAAUAAUGAAGACCCAGCUACCCAAUCUUAUGGUUACAAUAGCUAGAGAAAGAUUCCUCAGUGCUUGGUUUUUGUGCUUUUCAAUGUUUAUUUUUUCAAUUUGUCCGUUAUUAUGGUUAUGGUAACAUUAUUUUCAGGUUGGGGAAAGACCAACCUCAGCUUUUUGUAAGAGACAACUUAAGACCUUGACAAAUUCAUUUUACUCCUCUAGGAUCAACUUAUACCUUUAUUAUCUUAAAGGUUCUUAAAUGUAUCUCCUGUAUCAGCCAUCACAGCUUUAAUAUUUAGCUGAAAAGGACAACUUGUAUUUUAUGACACUUAUAUGUCCUUUCCCGCAUUCACAAGACACAAAUAUGUACUUAUGUGACUCUGAAAAUAAACUGUUCCCUUCAGCAUGUAUUGACCUUGGCAGUACUGGCCCAAAUUAAUCAUAUGCUUCACAUACACCUUUUUUCUGUUCUGUAAACAACAAGCCUUGCUUUAUAACUCAUUCUGUAUCCCUUUAAUUAUUUAGUUGCGCUUUGAAGAACACCUUCAAGAGAAAAAUAUCCUUUUUUUAUGAAUACAGGUGUAUCAAAUAUAUCAUUUUACUAUCAGAGGCAGAAUGGAGAGAUCACCAAGACCAGUAAUGGUCAUCUGUGAAAGUAACAUAUGGGCUCAACUCAUGGAUAGCUGAACUUACAAUAUGUAGGGCAACCUAGGAGAUGAACUGAACUAUGUAGCUAGUUGGUUUACACUGUAUGUCAAUGAUAUCGAGUUGGUAUCUAGUAGAGUUAAGUCAAAAGCUACUGGACUUGACCACUCAUUCAACCAGCUUCUUCAGUUGAAUUGACUUAACUCUACUAGAUACUCUAUAUCAUGACCUGGAUGAACCUUCAUAGAGUUGACUAAUGUCUCAACGUAUAGCCUUGCCAUCAUUUCAGUCAAUUGUGGCAUACCCCAGCUACCUCCAUUGCAAGUUGAGUCUCACAACUGCCUUCUUACCUCUUCAGGCACUUUUUUUGGGGGGUAAGAAGAGGUCCCAGGUUUUCUAGAGUACUACUUUACUCUCAUACACUAUUGUCUCUUAAAAAAGGAACCACAUAUAACUAUCCCUUAUUGGUGGCUUUUGACUGUCCUGCAGAAAUGCUGCAUUGUUUACCCCAUUCAUGAUUACCAAUACAUCAAGAGUCUUCUCUAGCCAUGCUAGGGUUGUAAAUGCUACUCGCCAAGCUUUGAAUCCAAUGUAAGAUGAAGAUACCCAAGCUUAGAAUCCAAUCUAAGAUGAAGAUACAGUUUUUGGGCUACUUACUUAUAUCCCAUUCCAUGUAUCUCCUCAUUGGCCACAGUCUCUACAGGAAUGAAUUAGAUAGGACGUCCCUAACUGCCCUGUUCCCAUCCUCUGAGAUUCCAGACACUGAGAAUUCACAAGGUUUUAAAAGUUGCUACAGAAUGAGGUCAAAACUGAUAUGACUUAAGGACACCUGAAAUGAUACGUGACCCUUGUAUCACACACCAUGCAAAGAACUGAAUUUCUGAUUCUGCCAGCUCAGUGUGGGUCGCUGUCCUCAAAAAUAUCAGCAUGCACCACUGGUUACCCCCAGGCUUAUUUCUCUUUAGGAUUCUACCAACUCUUAUACGCUGAGCUUUGAAGACAACAAGUGCUUCAGGACAGGUUCUGCAAGCAGGAGUUAUGAUAUCGAGGAGACAGCAUUUCCACAUUGCCAGGAUCAUUGUAUUUAUUGCAUCCAAGCCGAACAGCCAAAGGCAGCUGACUAAGAAGAAGCUGCCCGGCUCCCCCACGCUGAUUCCCUUCCACACUUCUCCCAGCUGGAAGUUUCAUAUCAUCGGCCUGUCCAAUUGAUUCUGUAAGGCAAUUAAAGGGAGCGUGUGGGGUGAGACGGUGUAGAGAAACAAUUACAGGUUGGUUUUAUGCUUGCCAUUCACUAUUAGGAGGUCAGACAUGACAGAUUCCGAAUAAACACCAAACAACUUCGGCAGGAAUGUUGGAGAUGGCCCAGCUGAUACCUUCAGUGGCUCUUCUGUUGAGGGAUUAUAGUCUCUCCAUUUUCAUUUGUUCAGGCUUUGUUUCAAUUAAAGGCAGGAGAAGCGAUGGAAAGCAGAUCAGUGGCUGGCAGAAAACGAAUGCAACUGUAAUAGUGUUCCUUUACAUUGUUACUGAGGUUGAAUAAAAGAUACAAGUGCCUCCAAGUUAAGCCUUUGAGAUAGAGGUUGAUGAUGGCGUUGACCUGAAGGAAACAAAAAUACUUAUUAAUUUUGCUUCUAGAGUGGAAAAUAAUGGAGAAAAAAUGACCAAUGGAUUUAAAGAAAAAUAAAUGUUACCCUGACGUUGCACAAAGGAGGAUUUAUUACACGUCUCAGUGGGACGACAGGUGAUAAAAGAGGGAAAAAGAGCGUCAUUAAUCAUGAAUGAGAUCCAGAGCGUGGAAUUGCGUCUGUGAGUCCAGCAAAAAAAAAAAAAAGAAUGAUGCUCCUUGCAGACGUUUUCUGCCCACUGAAUUAUUAAUAAGCACCAAAAGAAAAGUGAGAGGCUUCUUAUUUCUACAUUGAAGGGUCCAGGUUGGUGUCAGCGAAUAAUGUAUCAAUGUUUGUAAAGAGACGGUGGCAGCAUAAUGAAUAAUAAAUUUCCUUUUAUUACCGA